CUGACUUACAAGUAAUUAGCAUUGUUUUUUUUCAGCUGAUUUCUCUUUUACAUCUCCUGGCAGACAUCAUGCAAAGAGUAGCUUGAGAAAAAAGAUAUGUUUGCAAUUUGACACAAGCGUAGCUUGCCAAGAGAGGUCACUGUGGCAUCCUCUGUGGAUACAUUCACAAAGACAUGAGAUAACACACUCGGAGUGGGAAGUGUGAGGGGACUGCUGCCUGGUGCAUAGAGUCUGGAUCUCGUAAGGGACUGUUAGCCCCAGAAGAGAAGAAAACCCAGCACUCCCCUAAUCUUCGGAAUUACCAUAACAUUAUGAGGCUAUUAAACAAAGCUGCCUAACCUUACACUCAUCCAUCAACCUUGAAUUAUUAAGAGAAUAACUGCAGAGCAUUUACAAGUGGAUGGGAUGGAGUCCUGGCUGCUUUUCAAGAACACAGAGUCAGUGCUACAAAAACUUUGCAAGAUGGUAAUUUUUCUUGUGCUGGCUGUUCCUUACUCUGGGCCUGAAAGAAAGAAUGGUUUCUUGAAUUUAAGGCUUUGGGAUAUGCUGAAGAGAAGGAAAGAGUUUUCUUCAUUCCCCAUCCAGUUAAGUAUAAUGAAACAGAAGAGUUUCUAUGUAAGGAAGGGGUCAGAAUGAGUACAAACAGCUGAGGGUUUAUGCAAUAUGACUUUAUCAAGGAUAGGUUUAAAAAUCACUGUCAAAAGUGUAUCAGGAUGAAGCGAAGAUAAAAUGGAUCAUACCAAAGGACAUUUUUCUCACUGAUUGAAAGAUAGAGGUUGUGAUGGAGCGGAGCUGCAAUGUAAUAAUCUAAGAAUACGGUCAGCAAUUUAGGGUGUGCACAAAGAUAUCUAAGCCAGUGCUGCACAAUUUACUCCCACAGCUGGAAGAGCUGGGAAACAGCGCAGCGACUCCAUGCAGGCCAGCACUGAAACAGAAGCAAUAUAGCCCUGCAUGCUCUGCCAGCUGAACAUGAUUAUUCUGCCUCUCAGUCCCACUUGGCAUAUCUGCAUGAUACUUUACUGUGCUGUGUGGACUUGCCGGACGAGCUCAAUGCUAGCUUGGGGAUCUCUGCACCAUGGUCUCUGCAAUGAAAAUGUACCCUUGGAAAUGAAGCUAAUCUGUUUGACUUAUAGAAGGGUAGGACAAUGCUUGCUGGCUAGCUGGCAUUGCUCUAAUUAAGCAGGGCUGUGGGAAAAAGAAAAAUGCCAGGCUGUACAGUGACUUUCCAGACAAGAAUAUCCCAGAAAGCACUGAAAAGCUGGACCUUCUGAGCAUCCUAUAUUCUGUUAAGUGAAAAGCUUCAGGCUCUAUUUUGCUAUUUUAUAUGCUUGAAAAUCCAAACACCAGCAAACGGUUAAGAAGUUGUUCUCAAGAGAGAGCAGUCAGUUAUCAGAAGCUGCCACUAGGCCCAGGGUGAC
rnacentral:lncRNA from 1 species